GCCCGGGUGGCGUAACUGGCAGGCGCAGAGGGCUUAAACCCCUCGGACCCCCACAGGGGUCGUGUGAGUUCGAAUCUCACCCCGGGCACCA
rnacentral:tRNA from 1 species